GCACUUGUUCCAAUUGUGGCUAUUGAGUCCCUGCCUCUCUCUGCCCCCUCAGGGUUGUGUCAGCAUUCCCAGACCUGCCCUCCUUUUGCUGCUCUGAUCAGACUGGUUCCUUCUUGAUAACGGGGGUGAGUGUCCAGAGGGCAGGGCAGAGUGUGCUUUGUAUGCCUUUUGCAAGUUUCAGUUUCAAAGAGCAGAAGGGGCCAGAGAAGGCGGAUUCAACCGUUGGGGAUCGUUUUGAUGGGGGCGCCCAUGGUCUGGCCUCUGCAGACCCCCCUGUAACCUGUGCCAGGCUCUGCCACUCUGCUGGGAGCUGCCUGCUUCUCAGCCACGAGGGACUCAGAUCUGGAGCUGGAAUUAGAGUUUGGGGCUCAGGCAAUUAGCUUCAAGUGCAAAGUCUGAGGGCAGAUCUGGGGCCUGCUGGGCUCCCUGAACCUUUUCCUGCUGCUGAGUUGAGAGACGCUUCAGAAGUCCCAGGCUUUCAAAGCAGAUGAGGAAACACACAGAGAAGGCCAAGGAACCUGACUAAGGUCAUCACACAGAGAGUGGGCCAGCCCUGGGGAGAGGUCAGCAGUCAGCCCCCAGAAUCUGGCCUUCCCAGGACCCUAAGCUGUGUCCUUCUCAACCCUGAACACUCGGAGGAAAUGGAGGAUCUGUCCUGCUGCCCUGUGCUCUGCCGGCUCACCCCGCUGCUGCUCCUCAUCCAGCUGCUCACUGGGGGCUCCCUAGGUGAGUGGUCCCCAUCCCUCUUGCUGUGUCCUCUGGGGUGGGUGGCUCCCUGGGGGCUGGAGCCGGGCUGGUUCUCUCCAUCGCCAGGGGGUGACCAUUUUUCUCUGGAAAAAUGACGAUGCUCCCCAACUAUUCAUUAUAAUUAGACAUUUAGGAAGAGUCUCUAAGCCAUGAUAUGAGGGUAAGGACCCUGACAGUUGUCACAUGAGGGAUUUAUGCAAGUUAACUGUCAGAAAUGUGACAAUACCUCUUCCCCCUAGUUUUUACUUCUCAGCUUUAGUGGUAUUGAAGCUCUUACUCCUGCAUUAAUUCAUUUCGUUCCCCAUAUAUUUACAGGGUGUGGACUAUGUGUCAGGUGCUCUUCUUGAAUUCAGCAGACAGAAUCCCUGGCUUUAUAGACCUUCCAGUCUCACGGGAGGCACCGAGUAGUAAAUGUGAGAGCAGGUGUAGGGGACAGUUUGCUGUAAGAGAUGGGAGGUGGGGCAGUGAGGCAGGGCAGGCGGGCAGGCAGGGCUGUGGA